GACGUCAGAUCCCAACGUCAGAUUGACGUCAAUCUCCAACGUUGGACAGACGUUGCAUUUUGGUUGAAAAUGAAAAUCGGGUUGACGUCAGAUCCCAACGUCAGAUUGACGUCAAUCUCCAACGUUGGACAGACGUUGCAUUUUGGUUGAAAAUGAAAAUCGGGUUGACGUCAGAUCCCAACGUCAGAUUGACGUCAAUCUCCAACGUUGGACAGACGUUGCAUUUUGGUUGAAAAUGAAAAUCGGGUUGACGUCAGAUCCCAACGGCAGAUUGACGUCAAUCUCCAACGUUGGACAGACGUUGCAUUUUGGUUGAAAAUGAAAAUCGGGUUGACGUCAGAUCCCAACGGCAGAUUGACGUCAGUCUCCAACGUUGGACAGACGUUGCAUUUUGGUUGAAAAUGAAAAUCGGGUUGACGUCAGAUCCCAACGUCAGAUUGACGUCAACCUCCAACGUUGGACAGACGUUGCAUUUUGGUUGAAAAUGAAAAUCGGGUUGACGUCAGAUCCCAACGGCAGAUUGACGUCAGUCUCCAACGUUGGACAGACGUUGCAUUUUGGUUGAAAAUGAAAAUCGGGUUGACGUCAGAUCCCAACGGCAGAUUGACGUCAA